UUUCUACUUCAGAUUCGCCCAAAGCCCCAACAAACGAUGCUAAGCAAGAUUAUUCCAUACGAGAUUCGUUCAGAGCCCCAAUUCGUUCUAACAACCUAGGAGGUCGAGAGAUCAUCAGAAAUAAUGGAGAUUUUAAUAGUGUGCAUAACAAUCCCUUGGGUCUUUCAGGGUGGCAACCCUCCGGAAAUAGUUUUCUGUAGGGGGAGAAAAAAAGAACAGUUCUUCCAUUGUAUUUAUUUUGUCUCAAAUGUAAAGCACUAUAAUGUUGUCAUAUAAAGAUGGUAUGAAAUAAAGGAAAUCUAAAGCCUGAAAAA